UCACGUUUACUGGCUCACAAAUACGCCACGGCCCUCAUCCCGUUUCGGAACCCGCCAUCAAUCAUACGGACUGUUUCGUCCACAAACGCUAGGAUUCAUGGUUCGAAACUGAGGAGGAUGGAGAAAAGAGAUGAAAAUCAAAAGAGUGUAGCUGUGGAGAGCACCACAAGAUUAAACAAACCCCGUGUUGAUAAGCUUCAACAACUCGUACACAAGGAUUCUAUUGAUGGUUGGGAAAAGAGUUGGGAGCAAGGUGUGACUCCAUGGGAUUUAGGACAGCCGACACCAAUUCUUUUACAUCUUCAUCAGACAGGAGCUCUUCCCAAGGGUAGGGCUUUAGUCCCUGGUUGUGGUAGUGGUUAUGAUGUAGCAGCAAUUGCAUGUCCUGAACGCUAUGUUAUUGGAUUGGAUAUAUCAGACAUUGCCAUUAAGAAAGCAGUGGAGUUGUCUUCCUCAUUACCGAAUGCAAGUUAUUUUAAUUUCUUAAAGGCGGACUUUUUCACUUGGAAUCCAAGUGAAUUAUUUGAUCUCAUUCUCGAUUAUACGUUCUUUUGUGCCAUUGAACCAGACAUGAGGUUGGCUUGGGCACAGAGAAUUCGUGAUUUAUUGAAACCUGGUGGAGAGCUCAUAACACUAAUGUUUCCAAUCAGUGAUCAUGUUGGUGGACCCCCAUUCAAAGUAUCAAUUUCAGAUUAUGAAGAGGUAUUACUUCCCAUGGGCUUUAGGGCAGUAUCCAUUGUGGAUAAUGAACUGGCUAUUGGACCACGCAAGGUAUGUCAAAACAUUUUCUCCUAGUUCAGUAGAACAUGCAAUGUAGAGCUUGCAAAAUCAAGCAUGCUAAUCACACGAUAAUAAGUUCUCUAAGAUACAUGGUACACUUUGAAAAGUCAACAAAGGUGUAAUAACAGCCAUUGGGACAGCCUGCUAGCUUACAGAUAAAUCUAACACACUCACACGAGAGUCUCGACAAGAGGAAGAGAGAAGCUUGGCAGGUGGUCCCUAGCCCAAUGCUCACUAUGAUGACGGCGGUCGUCUUGUGAAAAGUGGAGCACUUCGGGAC